CAGGGAGACAACAAAAUGUUUAUAUUAUUAUUUUGUCACCUUAGGUCGAUCGGUAUCUCACGUUUUUAAUUUAUUAAGAAUUUCAUUUCCUAAGUUUUUCUAGGUCACACCCAUUAUUUUUCCUGGGCCAUUAGCUCAGGUGGUUAGAGCGCACCCCUGAUAAGGGUGAGGUCCCUGGUUCAAGUCCAGGAUGGCCCAUAUCUCUAUGUUGGGGGUAUAGCUCAGUUGGUAGAGCGCCUGCUUUGCAAGCAGGAUGUCAGCGGUUCGAGUCCGCUUACCUCCACUGAUCACCACCUCUCCCAUAAUUUAUAAAAAGGAAUUGUUUUGAAUUAAGACCAAAUACUGAACGAAUCUAGCCUCCUAAUCAAUUAGAUUAAGAUGCUGGACUCAUUGAAUUAAUUUCAUUGUUUUCAGAGAACCUUGACAACUGCAUAGAUUAUUUUUAAAGACAAUAAGCAUCUUUUUUGAUGCAGAUUUAUUAUUUGUGCAAAUGCAUUAAUAACAAUUCUAUUAAGCUGAUGCUUCA
rnacentral:tRNA from 1 species